AUUGAACGCUGGCGGCAUGCUUUACACAUGCAAGUCGGACGGCAGCACAGAGAAGCUUGCUUCUUGGGUGGCGAGUGGCGAACGGGUGAGUAACAUAUCGGAACGUACCGAGCAGUGGGGGAUAACUAAUCGAAAGAUUAGCUAAUACCGCAUAUCUUCUGAGGAAGAAAGCAGGGGACCAUUUGGCCUUGCGCUGUUUGAGCGGCCGAUAUCUGAUUAGCUAGUUGGUGGGGUAAAGGCCUACCAAGGCGACGAUCAGUAGCGGGUCUGAGAGGAUGAUCCGCCACACUGGGACUGAGACACGGCCCAGACUCCUACGGGAGGCAGCAGUGGGGAAUUUUGGACAAUGGGCGCAAGCCUGAUCCAGCCAUGCCGCGUGUCUGAAGAAGGCCUUCGGGUUGUAAAGGACUUUUGUCAGGGAAGAAAAGGGCGGGGUUAAUACCCCUGUCUGAUGA
rnacentral:rRNA from 1 species